AUGAAGCUGGAAUCGCUAGUAAUCGCAGGUCAGCAUACUGCGGUGAAUACGUUCCCGGGUCUUGUACACACCGCCCCGUCACACCAUGGGAGCCGGAAAUGCCCGAAGCCAGUGACCCAACCUUAGGGAGGGAGCUGUCGAAGGUGGAGCCGGUAACUGGGGUGAAGUCGUAACAAGGUAGC
rnacentral:rRNA from 1 species